UAAAUGAGGAUUUUAAGAUUUUGAUAAUAUAAGAUAUUGAGGAUUGAUAUGUGGACACCGGCAUAACAGAAGAAAAGUGGAGAUAAUUAUAUCUGGAGCUUCUAACCAUAAGAUUUAUCAUUACUAUUUAGGGAGUGGGAGCUACAUGGCCUAUGAGAAGCACAUGGAAUACAUGGAGAGAAUUACAUCCAACUAUCAGGAUGGCGAUACUAAAAGAUGUUUGGUCUGUUUGUGUAAGGUAACCCAAAUCUAUUGCUCAUGUUGAGUUGAGUUCGAGAUCUUUUUAAGUUGUGGUCAUGUUGAGACGAAUGAUGGAUGUAGUGGGUGACAAAUAAAAAGCAUAAAAGAUAGACCGAUUUCAGGGGCGUUGACCGAAGAUGAGUUGAAACAGUUUUCGGGUUUGUCUUGUACACCACCAAGGAAGUCACCUGGCAAAAGCCCUAAUGAUAUGCCAAUAAAUGGUAGUGUUGGUAGCUACUGGAGCCACACGAGCUCAGCACAAUUUUCGAGCCCAUGUUCAUCGUAUAAAGGCAUACCGAAUGCCACCAGCAAGUACAGAGAGGAGGCAAGACGGGCUCGUCAGGUAACGGGUUAGAAUUGGCUUGGAUUGAAAUUAGUCAUUUUUGUAGAGUUCGAAACGGGUUGGUUCGGGCUGGGUUGCUCUGUAGCCUGCUUGUUUGUCCUUUUCUACAAAAAAGUUCUAUGUAUAUACUUGUAACUAUGAUUUGAUUACAAAAACAACUUUAUUACAGUAAUAGUCAAAACUUUUUGGACAUAACAAUUUAGAAAGUUCGGGUCAAACCACAUCUGGG